UACGUAGGGGGCAAGCGUUGUCCGGAAUCAUUGGGCGUAAAGCGCGCGUAGGCGGCCUCAUAAGUCCGUUGUGAAAGUCAAAGGCUCAACCUUUGAAAGCCGAUGGAUACUGUGAGGCUAGAGUCCGGAAGAGGCGAGUGGAAUUCCUGGUGUAGCGGUGGAAUGCGCAGAUAUCAGGAGGAACACCAAUAGCGAAGGCAGCUCGCUGGGACGGUACUGACGCUGAGGUGCGAAAGCGUGGGGAGCAAAACAGG
rnacentral:rRNA from 1 species